UGGAUGGGACUGCGGCCUAUCAGCUUGUUGGUGAGGUAAUGGCCCACCAAGGCUAUUACAGGUACGGGCUCUGAGAGGAGAAGCCCGGAGAUGGGUACUGAGACACGGACCCAGGCCCUAUGGGGCGCAGCAGGCGAGAAACCUUUGCAAUGUGCGCAAGCACGACAAGGUUAAUCCGAGUGGUUCCUGCUAAAGGAAUCUUUUGUUAGUUGUAAAACCACUGACGAAUAAGGGGUGGGCAAGUUCUGGUGUCAGCCGCCGCGGUAAAACCAGCACCUCAAGUGGUCAGGAGGAUUAUUGGGCCUAAAGCAUCCGUAGCCUGUUCUGUAAGUUUUCGGUUAAAUCCAUUAGCUCAACUAAUGGGCUGCCGAAAAUACUGUAGAACUAGGGAGUGGGAGAGGUAGACGGUAUUCGGUAGGAAGGGGUAAAAUCCUUUGAUCUAUUGAGGACCACCUGUGGCGAAGGCGGUCUACCAGAACACGUUCGACGGUGAGGGAUGAAAGCUGGGGGAGCAAACCGGAUUAGAUACCCGGGUAGUCCCAGCUGUAAACGAUGCAGACUCGGUGAUGCCCUGGCUUGUGGCCAGUGCAGUGCCGCAGGGAAGCCGUUAAGUUUGCCGCCUGGGAAGUACGUACGCAAGUAUGAAACUUAAAGGAAUUGGCGGGGGAGCACCACAAGGGGUGAAGCCUGCGGUUCAAUUGGAGUCAACGCCAGAAAUCUUACCCGAAGAGACAGCAGAAUGAAGGUCAAGCUGGAGACUUUACCAGACAAGCUGAGAAGUGGUGCAUGGCCGUCGCCAGCUCGUGC
rnacentral:rRNA from 1 species